ACUCUAGUUUGACAUUGUGAAAAGACAUAGAGGGUGUAGCAUAAGUGGGAGCGAAAGCGCCAGUGAAAUACCACUACCUUUAUCGUCUUUUUACUUAUUCAAUGGAGCGAAGCUGGGAUUAACGUCUCACUUUUUAGUAUUAAAGUCUUAUUCAGGCUCAUUCGGGUUGAAGACAUUGUCAGAUGGGGAGU
rnacentral:ncRNA from 1 species